UACGUAGGGUGCAAGCGUUAAUCGGAAUUACUGGGCGUAAAGCGUGCGCAGGCGGUUGUGCAAGACCGAUGUGAAAUCCCCGGGCUUAACCUGGGAAUGGCAUUUGUGACUGCACGGCUAGAGUGUGUCAGAGGGGGGGUAGAAUUCCACGUGUAGCAGUGAAAUGCGUAGAUAUGUGGAGGAAUACCGAUGGCGAAGGCAGCCCCCCUGGGAUAACACUGACGCUCAUGCACGAAAGCGUGGGGAGCAAACAGG
rnacentral:rRNA from 1 species